GAUGAACGCUGGCGGCGUGCCUAAUACAUGCGAGUCGAGCGAACAGACGAGGAGCUUGCUCCUCUGACGUUAGCGGCGGACGGGUGAGUAACACGUGGAUAACCUACCUAUAAGACUGGGAUAACUUCGGGAAACCGGAGCUAAUACCGGAUAAUAUAUUGAACCGCAUGGUUCAAUAGUGAAAGACGGUUUUGCUGUCACUUAUAGAUGGAUCCGCGCCGCAUUAGCUAGUUGGUAAGGUAACGGCUUACCAAGGCAACGAUGCGUAGCCGACCUGAGAGGGUGAUCGGCCACACUGGAACUGAGACACGGUCCAGACUCCUACGGGAGGCAGCAGUAGGGAAUCUUCCGCAAUGGGCGAAAGCCUGACGGAGCAACGCCGCGUGAGUGAUGAAGGUCUUCGGAUCGUAAAACUCUGUUAUUAGGGAAGAACAAAUGUGUAAGUAACUAUGCACGUCUUGACGGUACCUAAUCAGAAAGCCACGGCGAACUACGU
rnacentral:rRNA from 1 species